AAAAAGUGCAACUUUAAUCUCAUAAUAUUAUAACUUGUUUUUCUAUUUAAAAAAAAAUUAUCAUAAUAUUUGCUAGAAAAAGUAUGACUUUAUUCUCACAAACCUCUGGAACUAAUCAUCCUUUGCAUGGAAUGAAAAGAGAUGAUGAGACAAAAAGUUGAAAUAUUUAUUUAACAUUUUCUUGUUGUAUACUGUAAUUCCCCCCCCAAACAUGGUAUGGACAAGUCCCAUAUUUUUAAUGAAAAGUAAAAUAUUUCCGCAUGCAAGUCAAGCUAAAAUCUAUGGCGUCUAGCUGUAUAUUCUCAGGUGAAAGUGCAUGAUUAUAAUUUUUUCCCGCCCCCAUUCCUUUCCUCCCCUGAGGCUCCCAGAAGCGCGAGCGUUGAGUUCGGGGAGCGUGUCGUCCGGGCAGGUCCGUCACACGCACUUGCUCAUGCACAUGAGCAGCUCCAUGCGGACGGCGAUGCGGGUGUGCCAACCCAGCGGCAGCAGACGGAUGUAGCGCGCCACGACGGGCGGGCGCAGGAGGUUCUGCACCGUGGACGAGCGGUCCGAAUUCCCGUAGAACACCUGCGUGCAAGGCGGUGAACGUGUCAUCUAGACCCAGUUGAGCGCUUCCACCGUGCGGUACUGGACGCUGUACUUGGUGAUCCACUCGUCCGAGUCGCAGCGGCCCUGCGUCAGGAUGCCCGAGACCACGCCCACUUCCCGCAGGUCGAUCUGCAGCCACUGGUGCGGGUCGUUGUACUUGGACAGCCACGCGCACCUGAGGCGCGCACACACCGGCAUCGCGCGUCAAUGUCCGAUUGUCUGUUUGCCCUCCGAUCGGCUGCCGACCGGUCCGGGGUGCGCCCCGCUUCUCUGGCCGAAAGUCACGCGGGUAGGCUCCGGCCCACCCGGCGGCGGGCGGGUGUCGAGGGGUCUUACCCGAAGCCCUGGUUGUUGAGCCGAGCCUUGUCGGGGACCCAAGACGAGUACCAGCUGCUGUACUGGUCCCGGUGGGAGCAGCUGAUCUGGUCCGACGCCACCGAGCCGGACUCGAAGCCCAGAGCUCUGUGGUACGGACACUCUGGGAGGGGGAGGCCAGCACGGCAAUUGUCAACGUUUCUCGCCUUCUUCUAUUAGGUAGCAACAAACUAAACGGUAUUAGAGCAGCUUGAACUUUGUUUUCAUGCAAAUCCAUUCCGUGGUAUUUAACUUGAAGUGCCAAACAAGUGCCGACCCGCGUGAGGAUGAAGCGCUACAGAAAAUGGAGGGAUGGACGGAAUUGUUUUUACUCCUCCACUGGGGAGUUGUCCUCAAUGAGCCGCAGCGAUUUGCAAAGUUCGGUACUGUGUGGCGCCAUCUAGUUGUAUGCAAAGGAGUCCCUAGCUCAAUACAGUACAGUUGGAUUUAACUUUUAAGUACAAUACAUUUGCAUUUCAUCUUUUAGAAUUGUUUGUUUUUACCCUUUUAUUUCUGUCAAAAAGCAUUGAUUCAACUUGUUUGCAAAACAUUUUAAUUUAGCUAAGCGACGUUUUUUUUUUUUUUUUAGUUUUUGUUUUUUUUGUUUAAGCACAGUGUUAAUGUUCAAACUGUUGAUGAUGUUACAGGGGAUUACGAUCAUUUUUUUGGGGGGGGAAUAAUGAUUCGAUUAAAAAAUAAUGCAUAAUUACAAAAAAUUAUUAAAAUAAUCAAUCAUUAAAUAAUAAAACAUCACUCUUGAGUGAUAUUGCUUCAUUUGAUUUUGGUUAAUCGUUGAACAAUACCAAAUAAACAACAGCAAUCCAUUGAUAAACAGUAAUCGAGGGAAAAUGAUGAUUUUUAAUAUUUCUAUUGCUUGCUGUCCAUUCAAGUUGUGCUUUUUUGGGGGGGGGGGGGGGGGGGGUUGUGUGCUCUGAGUUAAUUUUUGAUUGACAGCAGUCAGGUGUGGCUAGAACUAUGGAAAGAAAUGAAGAGACCAAAAUAAAACCCCAAAAUUCCUGGACCUUGUUUGGUAUUUUGAAUAUUUUUCAAUUUUGGCAAAUGAACGGUCUAAAUGGCAAUAUUUAUAUUUGCACUUUGGGAGUUAUGUCGUCAGUGGUUUCUGAACUAAAACAAAUGUUUGUGUCUUUUCAACGGAUUUGAAAACCACGUGUGGAAGUCGACGGUCAGCGUGGGACGUCCCCUCACCUGGCAUGCAAGUCGGCGGGCUGCCGCCUCGAGGCGGCUCUGGCGCCGGCGAGGCGGCGGCGACGGCGACGGCGUCGGGGAGACUCCCGGGCGCGACGGCCUCACAGUCGCACGUGCACGCUUGCACGUUCCUGGCGGUCCACGUCUCCACGAUCUGCUGAUCCUCCUCCUGCAGCUCCUCGUCUACCUGCGGGAUCUCCUCUUCCUGCGCCGCCCAAAACGGGAAGCAUAGAGUUUUUCAAACGUUUGUAAACAAUAGGCGCCCAGGGUACUUCCGAGUGGCAGAAAGGUGACCGACUACCGCUUGCCACCCGGAAGUACGCGUGGCGUCGUGAUGAAAAGCUCUCCACGGUAGCUCGGAAUAACUUUUUGAAGACAUUUUGUUUGUCUGUUUUUUUUUUUUUUUUUUUUUACCUCCUGAGAGUGAACAGCAGUCAGGGCUGUAGCACAUCCAUGCGUGCAUGGAAUGUAAAAAGACAUUUCUAAAGGUUUGAUAGACAACCGUUAAACAUGGUUCAGCAGCGUACAGUGGAACCACAAAAGUCCAACACAGUCAUAAGCGAAUCAAUUUGGAGCUCAAAUUAUCCGGAUCUUGGGCCUUGAGACUUUUUGAUGCGUCCUUUUAUGAUGGACGUGUCCACCCAAUUUAGUGUUGAUUGGUGAAACUAGUGACGGGGGGGGGGGGGGGGCACCUUUUUUUUUCCACAUCAAAAUGCGGACUUUGCCUUCAAUUUUGGCUUUGGCUCUUUGAUACUUUUUCAGGUGUCCUGUCAUGACAAUCAUGUCCUCCUAAUUUCGUGUCCAUCGGCGAAACUCGUGUCGGGAGCAAAUGUUUUCGAAGCGUUCAGCCCAGGAACUUGCCACAAAAUGGCAAACUUCCUGUUGAGUUUUCGUCAUAGUUCCUUGAGACUUUUUCCUGUUAUGAUGCCACCCAUGUCCACCCAUAUUUGUGUCUCAUUUUUUUAACGAAUUUUCCAGCGCCCGAAUCACCGCAAAAUGGUGGCUGCUUCAAAGCAAAAUGGCUGACUUCCCGUUCAAUUUUGGGCACGGAUCGCUGAGACUUUUUCAUGCAUCCUGUUAUAAGACACGUCCACCCGUUUUCGUGUCCAUCGGUGAAACCUGUGUCGGGGGCUAAUUCUUUUUAUUUAUUUAUUUAUUUAUUUUUUUAUAGGCUAACUGAGCCCAAUUUGGACAUUUUCACUUAGGGGUCUACUCACUUUUGUUGCCAGCGGGUGCGCGUUAAUGGCUGUGUUGGAUUAUUUUGAACGGACAGUAAAUGCACACCAUUAUACAAGCCAUACACUGACUACUUUACAUUGGAGCAACGCGUGCUUUCUUCCGUUUUCCCAUGAAAAGAUAUAAUCAAACAUUUUGGCGCGCUACUCUACUGUACAGGAUCUCCUUGGGGGGAAAAAAGAUGAACAGAACAUCUUGUGUUGUCACUUUCAGAGGUUCCACUGUGUAUUGUGCCUUCGUGAAAAUGCCUAUUUCUUGCGAUGACGAUAAAAAACGAACUUUGUGGACUUACCCUGCGAGAGGAUGAGGAGGAAAAGGAGCGCGGCCCAACGAACGCCGGCCUCCAUCUCGCUGCUCGGCCGUGCUGGGAAUGGGAUGCGAGCGGCGGAUUGGAUUGGGAUUGAGAUUGAGAUUACACUAAUCCGGGACGGCGAAGCGCGAGGGCUUCAACUAAUACGCAUUAGCGGCUCGCUAACUAACAAACCCACGCAUCCUGCUUUCUCUCCGGCCAUUGUAUGCAAGCAGCAGAGAACCCAGAUUGAAAGGUCAAAUCGCUUCUUUUUGGGGGGAUGUAAUGAUGCAAAAGUUUUUGUUUCUUCAAAACGUGUAUAAUAUUCCAACAUAUUGUAUCACCAGUGGUCUGUUGGUUUAUUACAGUUGAUCUACUGGUGAAAUCAAACGCAAGUUGCUUUUCUGUAUUCACGUCAUAGCCAUCAACUGUUUUGUAAUUCAAUUUGGAUUCAUGUAUACUUUUAAGAACUGUGGCAUUUAUAUUAUAAUGUAAUUACUGCUCAAUUAAAACAAUACUAUUGAA